AUUCUGAUAUAAUAACUGUUUAUUUAUCGGUGGAGCAGCACAACAUUUUCCACAGACAGUUUUCCUGCCCGUUGGCUUGUUUUAACCAGUUUUCUACCUUCGGCUGAUUCUACCAGCAGACACUGAAAGGACUCUAAUAGUUCGAGUGAAAGUAGCAGUUCCUCCUUAAGGUCAGAGAUUGCAGUAUCUGAGGGCCUCUUCAAAAGAAGACAUAGUUGAUGAAGGCGUUCUGGAGCAGGACCAGAAAGACCACGACCAAGCAGCCUUGAGAUCUUAGGCAGCGUCUCCCUCAGACAUCCACCAACCACUGGAACACAUCUCCAAAGUUCUGCCGGGCCAGCUCAGCUUCCCCUCAGAAGAAGUGCUGCCACCUGCCAGAUGAAGGAGCCUUUUGAGAGGCAGCUGGCAUCGUGAUUGGACUGUACUUUGGUCUGUUCCAAUCCAGCUUCAGCUCCAGAGACGGCAGGCGGGACGAGUCAACGGAGGCCGGGUGGACGAAGGCAUGCAGCUGAGUACAAUCCAGAAAACAACAGAGGAGGAGUGCAGUGGCCCAGAGCCAGAACAAACAGAGUAGCAUCGUAUGUCUCUUAGAAAACAUCAU